AGUGAACGCUGGCGGUAGGCCUAACACAUGCAAGUCGAACGGCAGCACAGUAAGAGCUUGCUCUUACGGGUGGCGAGUGGCGGACGGGUGAGGAAUACAUCGGAAUCUACUUUUUCGUGGGGGAUAACGUAGAGAAACUUACGCUAAUACCGCAUACGACCUACGGGUGAAAGCAGGGGAUCUUCGGACCUUGCGCGAUUGAAUGAGCCGAUGUCGGAUUAGCUAGUUGGCGGGGUAAAGGCCCACCAAGGCGACGAUCCGUAGCUGGUCUGAGAGGAUGAUCAGCCACACUGGAGCUGAGACACGGUCCAGACUCCUACGGGAGGCAGCAGUGGGGAAUAUUGGACAAUGGGCGCAAGCCUGAUCCAGCCAUACCGCGUGGGUGAAGAAGGCCUUCGGGUUGUAAAGCCCUUUUGUUGGGAAAGAAAAGCAGCAGGUUAAUACCCCGCUGUUCUGACGGUACCCAAAGAAUAAGCACCGGCUAACUUCGUG
rnacentral:rRNA from 1 species